GGGUGGUGGUACAUGCACCUAUAGUCCCAGAUACUCAGGAGGAUGAGGUCGAUCCCAAGAGUCCAUGAGCUCUGGGCUGCUGUGCACUAUGAUGAUCGGGCGUCUGCACUAAGUUCAGCACCAAUGUGGUGAUCACCCAGGAGUGAGGGACCACCAGAUUGCCUAAGGAGGGGUGAACUGGCCCAGGUCAGAAAUGGAACAGGUCAAAACUCCCGUGUUGUAUUUCUCUAAGCAAUUCAUUGAGAUUAUGAUAAUAUUGCAUUGAACGAGCAGAUUGCUUUGGAUAAUAUUAGCACCAUGACCAUAUU
rfam:Fukomys damarensis contig88194, whole genome shotgun sequence.